UUAAGUGCACACAUCAAUUCAAGGCCUCUGUACGCGGCGCUUGCACAGUAUGUGCGCAUGCCCAAUAGCCCUUUACCCAUAAAUGCAUACGCACAUCAUUUUGGUGCGUACGCACGAAUUCGAAAUCCCUCCCCAGCGUCCUUCCUCUUCCCUUCGCACACGAUACCCUCUUCUCCCCUCCCCACUGUCUUAGCCUCCAGUCUGAACCAUCACCUUCGCGUCAACCACCUCCAGCCACCGCCGCCUUCUCAAAACCGCAACCAUCACAGACCCCAUGUCGCGUUUCCUCUUCUCCCUUACCGUCGCCUCCGUCGAAAUCCAGAGCAACGGCGGCUAGCUUCCCCUUUUUCUCCCCUCUCUCUGACUGGCAAACCACCACCGCGAAUCACCCUAGCCUCCACCAUCAGCGAGCCGCAGCCCUCUUCUCCUCUCUCCAUCUCACUCGCAAAACCACCAAAGCAAGCCCACCACCACAGCGCCGCCAGCAACCCUAAUCGCCAGCAAACCGCCGCGACAACCAACCGUCACCGGCGUCGCCAACGCAACCCUCCACACACCACCUUUUUCUCCGUUCCCCCUUUACUGCCUGGAACGGCCAGAAUAGGGUGCAGCCCCUGUGUCUUCCAGCCCUGUGCCGUCUUCCCUCUCUGACGCUGCCCUUGGCCGGCCGUGCUGCCGUGGCUGCAGCCCACCACCUCCCCUUCCCUUUCUCUAUUCUGUUUCUGCCUUUCCAGCUACUCUAUCGCCUAACCCACCAGUUGAAGGUGGAGGUGACACAGUGACGACUCCUUCCACUCCGCAUGAUCGUGAGCACCGAGGACGGUGCUACAUCUUAAGUGUGGGGAGGUUGUGCAUCUUCAGCAAGCGCAUUUUGGGUGACAAGCUUCAUUGCCGAACACUUUUAGUUUAGUUUCUUAUUAUGCUUUUUAGUUAUUUUGUAUAUAUUUUAUCUUUUGAAAACCUUUUUACUUAGUUAUUGCACUUUCUUAGUUUAUUGCACUUUUUAAUUUUGCUUGUACAUAACUUAGUAUUAUAUAGUAGUUAUGCAUAUUUUGACAUUUUGCUCUUAAUUUUGGCUUGUACAUAUGUUUUUUUUUUUUUUUUGGUUUUUUUUUCUUGUUUUUGUUUUGUUUUUUUUGUUGUUUUCCUGACAUUUUGCUCUUAAUUUUGGCUUGUACAUAUUUUUUUUUUUUUUUUUUGGUUUUUUAGUCUUGAUUGUGAUUUGGAUGAUGUGAUGAUUGCACCUAGUUUGAUUUCCUAUACACUUGCUAUUUUGGUUUGUUUGAAAUUAGGAAUUAAACUUAGGAUUUUUGACCUUUUCCAUCCAAUCACACUAUAUACAUAUAUAGAAUAAAUGCUAGUCAAUUAAUGAAAUUUCCAAGAAGCUUAUCUUUUGUAUAUAGGGCAUUGAAAUUCAAAUUGAAUUGAGUUUAAAAUUUUCAUUGAAACUUGCAUUUAUACAUUGUGGAAUAUGGUUUUUGAGUUGAAAGAACAUACAACUUGUGAGUUUUUGAGUCUUAUUGUGUGGUUACAUCAUUUAACCACUUAUCUCAUUCUUGUGUGUUGCUCUUCUUUAUGAUGCAAUAUUUGGUUUGUUUAAUGUAUAUUAUGCAAUUAUGUGAUUGAGGCCAUUAUUUCUUUAUAGCUCACUUAACCCAAAUAGCCUACCAUUUCAUUCACAUUUGUUUGCCACUUUGAGCCUUUUUUAUCCCCUUUUGUUCUUUAUUUUGCCACAUCAUUAACCUUAAGUGAAAAACAAUGAAGUGUCCCUUAUUUGAAUCUUUGAGUAGCUUAAGUUAGUGAGAGUGUGUGAUGUUUAAGUGUGGGGAAGAUGUGGGAACUUUGGUUGAUGAAUAGGUGUUUUAAUUCUUGUUGAAAAAUAUUGAAAAUUUCGGGUGCAUACUCAUGUAAUAUUAUGGAAACCAUAUGCAUUAAUGUGUUGGUAUAUAUAGUGUUCUUGAAAAAAAAAAAAAGAAUAAUGAAAAGGGGACAAAAUUAUCCCUAUGAGAAAUU